rnacentral:rRNA from 1 species
GACGAACGCUGGCGGCGUGCUUAACACAUGCAAGUCGAACGGAAAGGCCCUGCUUUUGUGGGGUGCUCGAGUGGCGAACGGGUGAGUAACACGUGAGUAACCUGCCCUUGACUUUGGGAUAACUUCAGGAAACUGGGGCUAAUACCGGAUAGGAGCUCCUGCUGCAUGGUGGGGGUUGGAAAGUUUCGGCGGUUGGGGAUGGACUCGCGGCUUAUCAGCUUGUUGGUGGGGUAGUGGCUUACCAAGGCUUUGACGGGUAGCCGGCCUGAGAGGGUGACCGGCCACAUUGGAACUGAGAUACGGCCCAGACUCCUACGGGAGGAAGCAGUGGGGAAUAGUGCACAAUGGGCGGGAGCCUGAUGCAGCAACGCAGCGUGCGGGAUGACGGCCUUCGGGUUGUAAACCGCUUUCGCCUGUAACGAAGCGUGAGUGACGGUAAUGGGUAAAGAAGCACCGGCUAACUACGU